UGGUGACUCCUCUUAUGUUGUCAGUUGUCC
rnacentral:piRNA from 1 species